CACCCUCUCCGAAAAGGGAGGGCGCGCGGAGAGAGUUUGAGCGGUCUACAGCUUGCCUAUAGGUGUGGUUCUUUGAGUAUUUCCAAAGGUGAGUCCUGGGGCGCAAGGUGUCUCUUCGGAUGUCUUUUCUCAGGCUGCCCAAUAUCGGAGAAGGCAUAAGGAUAGUCAACAUCCUCCACUGCAUUCUACUGUUGCUGAGUAUCGAUAGAUGCUCGAUACCAUUACUCAUAACCAUAUCAUGUGGUGCCCGUGGGCAGUUGUGCCCCCUACUAGUGAGGCUUGGUAUCCAACCAUCCAGGAAGCCACCCGAUAGCGGCUCUUACUAGAGGGAUUGUUAUGUAGCGUCUGGUACUUGGCCGAGCAGGUCUGCUACUAAUCUUUGGGCAUGGCCCAGCCCAGGAUUCCAGCGUGUCCUCCUACUAGCAUAAGGGCAGGAGAUACGUUCAUUGAGGAGGAGCUUCUCUUUGUCUAAGGUGGCACCGCUGCUGAGGGAUUGCUAAUAGACGACGACUAUAUGGAGUAUGUUCGGUCCUAUCUAGGAGGACGAUUGAUGGGAGUCGCAAAGGACCUUGCCUUCUUUCAUGCUGUCCGAGGUCAAGGACGGGGUCAGAUUCUGGUCCUAGGCCUAGAUGUAGUGCUGUUUGGGGGUAUUGGUGUUGUUGCAGUAGUGGAAGGUUUGCCGGUGAUAUUGUCGUAUCAGUGAUGGUGCGACAUGGCAUAGUGACAAUGCCCAUCUCAGAGCCUACCAUAGUGCCCUAUCAUGUCCUUACCAGAGUUCCUCGUGCCAUGUGGGGGAUUGCUAUAGGACGAUGGCAAGCAUAGUAGUGCUGAUCCAGGAGUUUGCCACGGGCGUUCGGUUGAGGAUGUUGGCCUCUCCGGCCAGGCAGGAGGUGCCUCUGCUGCGGAAGGGAGUGAUUCUGAUGAGACUUUGAGCCCGGCGGUAAUGAUGAUGAUGAUGGAGAGGAGGGUCCAUCUUAGGGUGCUUCGAAGCACCCUCGAGGAGGUUGACUGGGUUCAUGAACCUUAGCCUUAGGAUUCUUUUGCUUUUCACUUUGUGUAUGCUAUUUUUCCUUUUUUUAAAAACAUUGUAUAUGAUGCCAUUGGGGGAUGCCCCAUAUUUUGUAAAAACUUUUGUAUAGUUUCAAAAUCUACAGUGUAUGCAGUGAAUUCUGA